rnacentral:rRNA from 1 species
AAAGCAGCCGCGGUAAUUCCAGCUCCAAUAGCGUAUAUUAAAGUUGUUGCAGUUAAAAGCUCGUAGUUGAACCUCGGAAUCAAUUGAUUGGUCAUGCCAUUGGUGUGUACUGGUCAUAUUGGUUCUCACCUUCUAAGGAACCUUAAUGUCAUUAAUUUGAUGUUUUGGGGAAUUAGGACUGUUACCUUGAAAAAAUUAGAGUGUUUAAAGCAGGCUAACGCUUGAAUACAUUAGCAUGGAAUAAUGAAAUAGGACAUCGCAUUCUAUUUUGUUGGUUUCUAGGAUCGAUGUAAUGAUUAAUAGGGAUAGUUGGGGGCAUUAGUAUUCAAUUGUCAGAGGUGAAAUUCUUGGAUUUAUUGAAGACUAACUACUGCGAAAGCAUUUGCCAAGGAUGUUUUCAUUAAUCAAGAACGAAAGUUAGGGGAUCGAAGACGAUCAGAUACCGUCGUAGUCUUAACCAUAAACUAUGCCGACUAGGGAUCGGAUGAUGUUAUUUUUAAUGACUCA